rnacentral:rRNA from 1 species
CCUACGGGAGGCAGCAGUGGGGAAUAUUGCACAAUGGGCGCAAGCCUGAUGCAGCGACGCCGCGUGAGGGAUGACGGCCUUCGGGUUGUAAACCUCUUUCAGUAGGGAAGAAGCGAAAGUGACGGUACCUGCAGAAGAAGCGCCGGCUAACUACGUGCCAGCAGCCGCGGUAAUACGUAGGGCGCAAGCGUUAUCCGGAAUUAUUGGGCGUAAAGAGCUCGUAGGCGGUUUGUCGCGUCUGCCGUGAAAGUCCGGGGCUCAACUCCGGAUCUGCGGUGGGUACGGGCAGACUAGAGUGAUGUAGGGGAGACUGGAAUUCCUGGUGUAGCGGUGAAAUGCGCAGAUAUCAGGAGGAACACCGAUGGCGAAGGCAGGUCUCUGGGCAUUAACUGACGCUGAGGAGCGAAAGCAUGGGGAGCGAACAGGAUUAGAUACCCUGGUAGUCCAUGCCGUAAACGUUGGGCACUAGGUGUGGGGGACAUUCCACGUUUUCCGCGCCGUAGCUAACGCAUUAAGUGCCCCGCCUGGGGAGUACGGCCGCAAGGCUAAAACGUCAAAGAGUAGUACGGCGUGAGACGUGCCGACGGACGACACCGAGGGAGUUAGG